CACAUGCCAGAGGAAGAAUGGACUCACAUCUGACCACUGUCCGCCGGUCUGUCACCAUCUGACAGGAUGCAUAUCGCCGACUUCGUGUCUGGAUCAUUCGCAGGGGCAUGUGGAGUUGCAGUGGGCUACCCUCUGGACACUGUGAAGGUCCGCAUCCAAACCCAGAAACAGUUCACCGGAGUAUGGCAGUGUAUAGUGGCCACAUUUUCAAAAGAAGG